rnacentral:lncRNA from 1 species
UAUAAAGUUGUUGUUCAUAGCUAUUUUGUCCAAAUUUAAGUGUCCUAAAUGGCCAUUUUGAGUAAAAUAUGUCAAUUUCAACAUGUUUAUGGUAUCAAAGUUACAUAACAUGUUACCUUUCUGCACUGAAGUGUCCAUAUUAUAUUAACCUUGUCAUUUAUCAAUAAAAAUAUCUUCAUAAUAAAAGGCUUGAAAAUUUCCCUUUUUUUUAAUUUCAGGAGAUAAAUAAUGGGCCUCACAGAGAUCAGUCAUUUCUAUAAGGUUUAAUUCCCAACCAAAUAUAGAAAUGGGAGGGGGUUUCCAACCCCAUUAAAUUGAAUUGAUAUAAUAAAAGAGGGUUCUAACCCCCUGAAAUACCCGAUCCCCCACCACCCUGAAUCUGCCCCUCCCUUAUACCUCAUCCUCUAAAAGUCUGAAUAAUUUCCGUAAUAUUGUGAAAUUAGGGACAACCAACCUAAUGGGAAAAUUUCCCAAUACAACUUGUUUUAGAAAUAAGUGCAUAGCCAGUCCUCCUGUCAUGAAAAAAAUGGCACAAAAAAUUUGAAAACUUUUGUUUUUUUUUUUUUUACGAUCCUGUGUCUUACCCAGAUGUGUACAAGUAUUGUGUCAUAAUUUCUUGACAAAGCUAAUUUCAUGCUUGGAAUGAAUUUGAUCUGUUCUAUAAAAAGACAACACCUGAAAAAAAGCUCAAAAUAUUUGUUUCUAAUGAUAUAUAUAGCUAAUCUUAUGCUUGGAAUGAUAUAAAAAGACAACACCUGAAAUUGGGCCCACAAAUAUUUGUUUCUAAUGAUAUAUAUAGAUAGACACCUGUCUGAUGCCAAGGUAAAUACACACCGGAGAUCUGCUGCAAUACCUAUAUCUCCAGGUAAAAUGUGCAUUAUAAUCAUAGUUUAUAUUGAUUCUUAUGAAAACAGUUUAUAAAGUUUAAUGCAGUUUAAUGAAAGUUUUUAUAACAAUGUCAUGGCUGUCAAAAUGAUCACAACAUCCUCUUUCUUAAAAUAAAGACACAAGAUUGAAUAGUUCCCUCUUUGUUUUUAUAUAUUUACCAAAAAUGAAAUCAGAAUUCAGAUUUGGCAUUCAUUCUUCUUAAACAAUAUAUGUCUAAGUUAUCAGGUAUUUCUGAAAGGAAACACAAUAUUGAAUAUAGUUUGAAAGUAUAGGUGAAGCAAAAGAAAAAUAUGGACAGAGUGAAAGAAAACAUUAAGGGGUGAAAAGGAAAAAAGUAUGAGUGAACUUGGAGGGAUAAAAAAAGUAUGGGUAAAGAAAUGGGAAAGCAUUGACAAAGAGAAAGAAACUGAAAGGAAUGUAGAAGAGAAAGAAAAGAAUGGACAAGAAAAGUAAGCGUGUAUAUAUAUGUAGACAAAGAGAUUGAAAGUUAAAAUGAGAGAAGAGAAAGAAAGACACAAACACAAUAACAAAAAGUACAGGCAAUGAGAUGUAUACUAUUUACAGUCUUGUCUAUUCCUUAACACCUUGUAUAUUCUUUGAUUCUAUAUUAUUGUGAAGUAGAAAGGAAAAAAGUAGAUUUUUUCAGCUUCUCUGGUCAGCUGCUGUUUAAUAAAAAUUGUCCUUACAUUCCUUACCUCAA